GCUGGUUCCACCAUUUGAGCCAGGACAGCAAAGAGUCAUGAUUUUGUCGAGUGUUUUUCUCUCGAUGGUGAGCAGACAUCCGCACAGGCAGAGAUCCGCGCCGAGAGUCCGAGUGAGGGAAGGAGAGCAUUAGUUGGGCAUCGGCAUAGCUGUGGUAGGAGAAGCCAUGCGAGCAAAUGACAGCACCGAGAGAGUUGGUGUAGAGCGAGAAGAGGAGGAGACCCAGGACGGAACCCUGAUGAACUCCAGUAUUAAGAGGACAAGGUUCCGACACAGAGCGGCCGUCAAGGUAAAGUGACAGCCGCAUGAUGCACUGCUUGGCAGUUUUCAUCCUGGAAAGAAACACAAGGCGAUUUUGAUAUUAUGGUAAGGUAGAUGGGCGUGGGCAGCACACAAGAGUCACAGGGAGGUUCUUCCGACUUGAAAAAUAAGGUAUUUAUUUAAACAUAUAUAUAUAAAAAGUGGCGCACAAGGACGGGUUGAUUCUGCAGGGAAGACUGGCCUCAGAGAGCCCCAGGUAGGAAUCUUCCAGUACUAGGGCAAAAACAGAAAAAGAUGAACAAAGACAGCGUCUUAUCCACAGUGAGCAGCCAGACGGCCUGAAUAGGCAGUUUACCACUCUGACGUCGGAACGAUCUGGCACUGAAUGGCAGGAAGACCCGGGUUCAUAUAGACCCUUUUCACGUCACGCAACUUCCGUUUUUACUCAAAGCCGGGUAAUGUUUACUUCAGCCAGCAUAGAGGAACGCUAUGGAAUAUACACCGUUCCUUCCAAAACAUGGCAAAAAUAAAUCUAGAUGAUGUACAGCGGCUGGCAGACAAAUUUUCACUCACAACACGUUCCAAACGUGAUAAAGGAUAUAAAUUCUUCAUUGAACAGUACCUGUUUGCGUAUGAAGGUAAGCAUUUUGUACUGUCCCGCCCAAAAUUACGUUAGCGGAGGAGUUAGGAUAACGGUAGUUUUUUCUUCUGCAGUGAAAGUCCAUAUUCUUUAUUAAUUUACUGUAACACAGACCUGAAAAACUCUUGUUGCAGUUAUGUUUAUUA
ensembl:lncRNA